rnacentral:piRNA from 1 species
UACAUAGGACUAGAGAUGUUUCUUUAAAGC